rnacentral:rRNA from 1 species
UGGGGAAUAUUGCACAAUGGGCGCAAGCCUGAUGCAGCGACGCCGCGUGAGGGAUGACGGCCUUCGGGUUGUAAACCUCUUUCAGCAGGGACGAAGCGCAAGUGACGGUACCUGUAGAAGAAGGACCGGCCAACUACGUGCCAGCAGCCGCGGUAAUACGUAGGGUCCGAGCGUUGUCCGGAAUUACUGGGCGUAAAGAGCUCGUAGGUGGUUUGUCGCGUUGUUCGUGAAAACUCACAGCUCAACUGUGGGCGUGCGGGCGAUACGGGCAGACUGGAGUACUGCAGGGGAGACUGGAAUUCCUGGUGUAGCGGUGGAAUGCGCAGAUAUCAGGAGGAACACCGGUGGCGAAGGCGGGUCUCUGGGCAGUAACUGACGCUGAGGAGCGAAAGCGUGGGGAGCGAACA